rnacentral:rRNA from 1 species
AUUGAACGCUGGCGGCAGGCCUAACACAUGCAAGUCGAGCGGAUGAAGGGAGCUUGCUCCUGGAUUCAGCGGCGGACGGGUGAGUAAUGCCUAGGAAUCUGCCUGGCAGUGGGGGAUAACGUCCGGAAACGGGCGCUAAUACCGCAUACGUCCUGAGGGAGAAAGUGGGGGAUCUUCGGACCUCACGCUCUCAGAUGAUCCUAGGUCGGAUUAGCUAGUUGGUGGGGUAAAGGCCUACCAAGGCGACGAUCCGUAACUGGUCUGAGAGGAUGAUCAGUCACACUGGAACUGAGACACGGUCCAGACUCCUACGGGAGGCAGCAGUGGGGAAUAUUGGACAAUGGGCGAAAGCCUGAUCCAGCCAUGCCGCGUGUGUGAAGAAGGUCUUCGGAUUGUAAAGCACUUUAAGUUGGGAGGAAGGGCAGUAAGUUAAUACCUUGCUGUUUUGACGGUACCAACAGAAUAAGCACCGGCUAACUUCGUG